rnacentral:lncRNA from 1 species
GGAGAAGAAUCUGCUUACUGAACCUGAGACCCUGUUCCUGGUGAGACUGUCCUUAAAUCAUUCCCUUUGGACUGACAUGUGGCUGAGGCAGCUCCGUGAUGCUGGACAGAGGACUGGACCUCAAUCAAGAAGCUUCAUCUUUGUGAGGUUUGACCUCCAGGAAGUGAUGCAGAGCGAAAGGAGCAGAACCAGGAGAACAUUGUACACAGAGACUGAUACACUGUGGUACAAUCAAAUGUAAUGGACUUCUCCAUUAGUGGCAACUCAGUGAUCCGAACAACUUGGAGGAAUCUACAAGAAAAAGACACUAUCCACAUUUGGAGGAAAAAACUGUGGGAGUAGAAACACAGAUGAAAAACAACUGCUCGAUUACAUGGGUCAAGGGGAUAUGGCUGGGGAUGGAGACUCUAAAUGAUCAAACUAGUGCAAACAUCAACAACAUGGAAAUAGGUUCUGAUCAAGGUCACAUGUAAUACCCAGUGGAAUUGCGUGUCGGCUGUGGGAAGGGUGGGUGGAGGGGAGGAAGGGAAAUAAUGCGAUUAUUGUAACCAAGGAAUAAUGUUCUAAAUGGACUAAAUAAAUGAAUUCAAAUGUAAAAAAAAAUAAAGCA